rnacentral:rRNA from 1 species
UACGUAGGGUGCAAGCGUUGUCCGGAAUUAUUGGGCGUAAAGAGCUCGUAGGCGGUCUGUCGCGUCUGCUGUGAAAACUCGGGGCUUAACCCCGGGCCUGCAGUGGGUACGGGCAGACUAGAGUGCGGUAGGGGAGACUGGAAUUCCUGGUGUAGCGGUGAAAUGCGUAGAUAUCUGGAGGAACACCGGUGGCGAAGGCGGCAUCCUGGACCGACACUGACGCUGAGGAGCGAAAGCCAGGGGAGCAAACGGG